rnacentral:rRNA from 1 species
UACGUAGGGUCCGAGCGUUGUCCGGAAUUACUGGGCGUAAAGAGCUCGUAGGCGGUCUGUCGCGUCUGCUGUGAAAACUGGGGGCUCAACCCCCCAGCCUGCAGUGGGUACGGGCAGACUAGAGUGCGGUAGGGGAGAUUGGAAUUCCUGGUGUAGCGGUGGAAUGCGCAGAUAUCAGGAGAACACCGAUGGCGAAGGCAGAGUCUCU